rnacentral:misc_RNA from 1 species
GAAAUGCGAUAAGUAAGGUGAAUUGCAGAAUUCAGUGAAUCAUCGAAUCUUUGAACGCACCUUGCGCUCCUUGGUAUUCCUUGGAGCAUGCCUGUUUGAGUAUCAUGAAAUCUUCAAAGUAAAUCUUUUGUUAACUCAAUUGGUUUCUACUUUGGUAUUGGAGGUCUUUGCAGCUUCACACCUGCUCCUCUUUGUUCAUUAGCUGGAUCUCAGUGUUAUGCUUGGUUCCACUCGGCGUGAUAAGUUAUCUAUCGCUGAGGACACUGUAAAAGGUGGCCAAGGUAAAUGCGGAUGAACCGCUUCUAAUAGUCCAUUGACUUGGACAAUACUUUUAUGAUCUGAUCUCAAAUCAGGUAGGACUACCCGCUGAACUUAAGC